UACGUAGGGGGCAAGCGUUGUCCGGAUUUAUUGGGCGUAAAGAGCGUGUAGGCGGUUUUACAGGUCCGCUGUGAAAACUGGAGGCUUAACCUCCAGACGUCGGUGGAAACCGUAUGACUAGAGUCCGGAAGAGGAGAGUGGAAUUCCUGGUGUAGCGGUGAAAUGCGCAGAUAUCAGGAAGAACACCCGUGGCGAAGGCAGCUCUCUGGGACGGUACUGACGCUGAGACGCGAAAGCGUGGGGAGCGAACAGG
rnacentral:rRNA from 1 species